UACGGAAGGUCCGAGCGUUGUCCGGAAUCAUUGGGCGUAAAGGGUACGUAGGCGGUUAAGCAAGUUAGACGUGAAAUCCUAUGGCUCAACUAUAGUAAGCUUUUAAAACUGCUCAUCUUGAGGUAUGGAAGGGGAUGUGGAAUUCCUAGUGUAGUGGUGAAAUGCGUAGAUAUUAGGAGGAAUACCGGUGGCGAAGGCGGCUUUCUGGCCAUAGACUGACGCUGAGGUGCGAAAGCGUGGGUAGCAAACAGG
rnacentral:rRNA from 1 species